rnacentral:rRNA from 1 species
UACGUACUGUGCGAACGUUAUUCGGAAUCACUGGGCUUAAAGGGUGUGUAGGCGGCUAACUAAGUAGGGUGUGAAAGGCCUUGGCCUAACCAAGGCAUUGCGCUCUAAACUGGUUGGCUUGAGUAAGAUAGGGGUGUGCGGAACUUCCAGUGGAGCGGUGAAAUGUGUUGAUAUUGGAAGGAACGCCGGUGGCGAAAGCGGCACACUGGGUCUUAACUGACGCUGAGACACGAAAGCCAGGGGAGCGAACGGG